rnacentral:rRNA from 1 species
AUUGAACGCUGGCGGCAGGCUUAACACAUGCAAGUCGAACGGUAACAUAAAGAAGCUUGCUUCUUUGAUGACGAGUGGCGGACGGGUGAGUAAUGCUUGGGAAUCUAGCUUAUGGAGGGGGAUAACUACGGGAAACUGUAGCUAAUACCGCGUAGAAUCGAGAGAUGAAAGUGUGGGACCUUCGGGCCACAUGCCAUAGGAUGAGCCCAAGUGGGAUUAGGUAGUUGGUGAGGUAAAGGCUCACCAAGCCGACGAUCUCUAGCUGGUCUGAGAGGAUGACCAGCCACACUGGGACUGAGACACGGCCCAGACUCCUACGGGAGGCAGCAGUGGGGAAUAUUGCGCAAUGGGGGCAAACCCCUGACGCAGCCCUGCCGCGUGAAUGAAGAAGGCCUUCGGGUUGUAA